rnacentral:lncRNA from 1 species
GGUUAUUGAGAAAGUAUUGGAAGGCUGCUUUAAGCAUAUUCCUGUCUUUUUUCUUUCUAAUUUUAAAAGAAGAUUUUGUCAUGUUAUUUUCAACCAGAUAGUAAAAUUCACGAGGGUGAUGAAUGUUUUCUUUCUCCUUCAGUGAUCCCAGUUCUUCAUUGGAUUUCACCGAAGAUGGACAUAUGGUCUUGCAGCAAUCACCCCAUCAGUCUGAAAGAUGGUUGUAAGGAAUGAACUGGAUAAUCUCGAGACAAAAGGGUUCUGAAACAACUAAAAACAAGGCCAAGUGUUUCAUCGGGGGAGAUAAAUAUAGCACCUUUGUGGUGAUAACAGUGAUACUGGAGAACACGUUUUCUGUUGAUGGUCAAGGCGACUUUCUAAUCCUGAAGCCUAGAGUCAGAUGGACGUCCACCAGCCCUGCUAGAUGAAGAG